rnacentral:rRNA from 1 species
CGCAAGCCUGAUCCAGCNAUGCCGCGUGUGUGAAGAAGGCCUUCGGGUUGUAAAGCACUUUUAUCAGGAGCGAAAUCUGCAUGCUCAAUACGUAUGCAGUCUGACGGUACCUGAGGAAUAAGCACCGGCUAACUUCGUGCCAGCAGCCGCGGUAAUACGAAGGGUGCAAGCGUUAAUCGGAAUUACUGGGCGUAAAGGGUGCGUAGGCGGUUGUUUAAGUCUGUCGUGAAAUCCCCGGGCUCAACCUGGGAAUGGCGAUGGAUACUGGGCAGCUAGAGUGUGUCAGAGGAUGGUGGAAUUCCCGGUGUAGCGGUGAAAUGCGUAGAGANCGGGAGGAACAUCAGUGGCGAAGGCGGCCAUCUGGGACAACACUGACGCUGAAGCACGAAAGCGUGGGGAGCAAACAGGAUUAGAUACCCUGGUAGUCCACGCCCUAAACGAUGCGAACUGGAUGUUGGUCUCAACUCGGAGAUCAGUGUCGAAGCUAACGCGUUAAGUUCGCCGCCUGGGGAGUACGGUCGCAAGACUGAAACU